rnacentral:tRNA from 1 species
GGUGCCUUAGCUCAGAUGGUAGAGCAAUGGACUGAAAAUCCAUGUGUCCCCAGUUCAAUUCUGGGAGGCACCACCA